rnacentral:rRNA from 1 species
UGGGGAAUAUUGCACAAUGGGCGAAAGCCUGAUGCAGCAACGCCGCGUGAGUGAUGAAGGCCUUCGGGUUGUAAAGCUCUGUCUUUUGGGACGAUAAUGACGGUACCAAAGGAGGAAGCCACGGCUAACUACGUGCCAGCAGCCGCGGUAAUACGUAGGUGGCAAGCGUUGUCCGGAUUUACUGGGCGUAAAGGAUGCGUAGGCGGAUUUUUAAGUGAGAUGUGAAAAACCCUAAGCUUAACUUGGGGACUGCAUUUCAUACUGGAAAUCUAGAGUGCGGGAGAGGAGAAUGGAGUUCCUAGUGUAGCGGUGAAAAUGCGUAGAGAUUAGGAAGAAACACCAGUGGCGAAGGCGAUUCUCUGGACCGUAACUGACGCUGAGGCAUGAAAAGCGUGGGGUAGCAAAACAGGAUUAGAUACCCUGGUAGUCCACGCCGUAAAACGAUGAGUACUAGGUGUAGGAGG